rnacentral:rRNA from 1 species
UACGUAAGGUGCAAGCGUUGUCCGGAAUUAUUGGGCGUAAAGAGCUCGUAGGCGGUUUGUCGCGUCUGCUGUGAAAACUCGGGGCUUAACUCCGGGCCUGCAGUGGGUACGGGCAGACUAGAGUGCGGUAGGGGAGACUGGAAUUCCUGGUGUAGCGGUGAAAUGCGCAGAUAUCAGGAGGAACACCGGUGGCGAAGGCGGGUCUCUGGGCCGUAACUGACGCUGAGGAGCGAAAGCGUGGGGAGCGAACAGG